UAUAUGUGUAUAUAUAUAUAUAUAUGUAUAUAUAUAUAUAUACACAUAUAUAUAUAUAUAUAUUGCUCAAGAACAUCCCUAAGGUAUCACAAUACCCACAGUGUGUCCUUUCUUCCUAGAAAUAGAAAAUAUCUAUAUUUUUUCCUUUGCAAUUUUUAAAAUUGAGUUUUUCUCACUGAUACCAUUUUCAGGGUGAAGAUAUAAUGCUAAAUUUAACUGUAUGGAUUAAUGUUGCCAUUCCUAAUCUUCAAAUUUCCAACAUAAAAAAAGAUGUCAAAAUUUUAUAAAAAUAAAUUCUUUUUGCUGCAGAAUUGAAAUGAGUAUCAAAAUUACAUUAAGUUGUAGUAAAAACAGACAGUCGUUAGGAUAUUUUAGUUUGACAUGAGCUCAUUCUUGGUCUUGACAGCAAAAUCUUCUGCCAAGCAGUGAUGGCAAAAUAUGUUGAAUUCAUUGAUUGAUUUUUAAACAUGGUAAUAAUUAAGCAAAAUCAUUUUGACACCUAAAGUCUCUGUUUUAGACAAUUAAAUUCUGCUUUAGCUAAGGUUAUUGACUUCUGGAUGGUACUGAAAGCAACACUCCUCAGGGUUUAAACUAUUCCUGUAGGACCAUCUGUUAUUGGCAAGGCUGUGCAUCCUCUCCAGCCAAAGCAGUAUCAACCCCAGUCGUAUAUUCAGGAUUGUUCAAAACACGGCCCUGGUUCCUCAUGAUCCUUCAGUCUCAAGUGGUAAUUCAGUUAAAUCAAAUACUGGUAUAUCAUAAUUUAAAACUUAAUACUUAAGGAAACUGUAAGAAAGUUCUUUAGAGUAAGAGACUGAACCUUUCUUACCUUUGUAUUUCCAAGACCAAAUCUACAAUGCCUAAGAGUGAACUUAGUAGGCAUUCAGCAAAUAUUGACUUAGCCUGAGAGAUAAGCUGAUAAUGGAAUCAUACUUUAUGUAUGUAUAACAGUUCCAUUGAUUUCAUUCCUAUAACCAUAUAAAGAAGACAAUCCAUUCUUUAUGUAGAAACUGAGAUUCAGAAAAUGUUGUUUGUUUGUUUUUUUUCCCAAGUAACAUGGCUAAAGCCAAUGGCUUUUAUUUCCAAUCCAGAGCCCUGCCUUUACACUGGUAUUUCUUCCUUAUGUGUGGCCUACUUUUACUUGUAAAACACUAUUUUUAGGCUAUAUAUUAGUUUGAAACAUUUUCUUCAUUAGGGAUAUAAUUUCACUGGAAAGGAUUGCAACCCAUUUACAUAUUAAAAAAAUAAACACAUAUAUUACAGGGCAACUCAGUGUACCCAAAAUUGUUCUUUACAGGUUACCUCUGAGUAAACUAACUCUAGAUUAUAUUGAAAUGUGGUAAGCAUAUGACACCCAAAGCACAUCUGUAUCCAUUGCGGCUGCGACAGAGGGCAAAGGAAUAAAGUAUAUGUGGAGAGUGAAUGUUUGGUUUCAGCUGCUGUCCAUAUUUUCCUCUGUAACAUCUUCGGCCUGAUGACGAAAGCUCUAAUUAGUUUGAAGAAUUUUUUGUGGCUGAGGAGUCCUUGUGCUCUCCAGUCUAAGAAAUUAUGAUCUCCCUGACACCCUCCAUUCAUAUUUCUGGAGGUCUAACUUAUAGAUGAGGAAGUAUAGGCCUUCUUAGACUCUGCAUUUUACCAUUUUGAUUUUUUAACAGUGAAGUACAAUUAACACCUUUAUAUCAUUUAUCAGUGUCUUGACUCAAUGAUUUCAGCAUGCAGGACAGAGAAGCAGAAAAUUAGAAAGCUGCUGAUUCUGAGGUACAUAAAUACUCUUCUGUCACAUAAACAGAUAUCUCUGGUUUCCAUUUUCUCCCUUAUUCCACACCAUUAUGUUUGCCCAUCAUAACAUUUUUUUUUCUUAAAUUGGGAUAUAAUGGGAAAAGAAAGGGUAAACUAAAUAAACAGGGUCAGAUUCCUUUGCUUCCUUAUCAAAAAUUUGUACUUAUACCUUUCAAUACUUAGAUUGAGUCGUUACCUCUAAACAUAAUGAUCAAUAGAUUUACUUUGUUAUCUGCUUGAUAGGGACAGGUGUUUUAGAGGGAAAAAAGUUGUCACGUGAACGUUCCCUUAAUAGACUUUUGAGUCAUCUAGACAUCACCCUAGAAUCACGUAUGAAUUCUAUAAAAAGAAGCAAAAUAAUAAUUGAAUAGUGACUAGAGCAGUGUCUAGCUACUAUAUUAAUUUUGGAAAGAUAAAUUUGGUGUCUAAAAGAACUCACAGGAUAGUUUCUCAAGACUCAAAUGGGCCUUUGAGACUAUUUGGCCUAUUUAAUUCUUUGUCUAGAUGAAAAAAACUGAGACCCAAGAAGUAAUUUGAUAUUUGGCGUCGGAAAAAUGACUCCAUGAACCGCUACUUAGAAACUGUGACAUUGGGCACAUCAUUUAAGUGUACCAGUUCUUUCUUUCCUUGUCUGUAAAAUGAGUGUAAUCAUGCCUAAUCCAUAAGGUUAUCAUGAGAUUAAGUGAACGGGUACAUGGAUCCCUGUCAACGUCUAUUCCAUGGUAGGCAGAUACUUCAAAAAACCCCCAAAAACAAAACCUACCUGCUUUUCUCUCUUUUGUCUUCAAGGAUACCAGUUUGCCAUUGACAGAGGUGAAGAUCGCACUUAAUGCGUGUCCUCUUAGUUUUGUUCUUGGUGGUUUUUUGGAAUAUGAGUUUUAUGUCUUUUUAAUAAGCAUGUCAGCUGUUAAUCUGCUUUUGGUUAAUUUUUUUUUUUUUUUGGAUAUUUAGGAUUUCUGGAAAGUUGGUCUUGUAACAGCAUCUGAAUAGUACAGACAGGAUCCUAUGUUUUCUUUUGAACUUAGUCCCUAUUGUGCCACAUUUAUAUAAUUGCUUUAUCUUUAAUUUUGAGUAUUUCGCCAUUUUCAUUCACAUGUUGUAUUUAAAAUUAUUCUGCUUUUAGCGUUUGUUAUUAAUUCACUUCCCUGUUGAUUACCCAUAGGAACUCCACCCGUCUGGGGAUUUUCACCUUAUACAUCACUCCUAUUACAAAACAACAUAUAAGAGAGAGAAUCUGUUUCACAGUCAGUACUUAACACAGCUGGAACCAUUUGAAACCUGCUGGGUUUUGCUUCCAAUUAUUCCAUAGACUAGAAAGCAUCUCCGUUGAAGUAGUGACAUCCAUGGUGUAAUCAAACUAGUUAAAAUGCCUUGGAGUAUAUGGAUCAUAUUUCUGGGAUUCAUCAAAUGUAAGCCAGAAGCAUAAUAACCAAUAGUUUUUUUUUCUUUCUUAUUUUAAAAUACCAUAUUCACUUAUAAAUGAGUUUUUAAUGUUUGAAUAUGCAAGUUUAUAACAUUUGAGUAUAUGGGUGACAUAAUAACAUAAAUGAGACCCAACAAAUAAAAAUAUAACACAAUAUGAUAGUAUCUGAAAAAAUACCUUUUCUUAAUAUACCAGAGGUCAAAAUCAUUGCCUUAUGGUAGCUUAGCUGAAAUCAUCAAGACAAAGUUAUUGAUUUGGAUUUGGAGCAGAAUGUAGUGGGGAUUUGUUACUAAUUCAAUUAACUUGAUCAACUAAAUAAGUAGAUAUAGCCAAUUUUUAGUUGGCCUCAAUGUAACUAGGAUUGUAGAAAUUAAAUUUUUAACUUCUUACUGACCUUUACUACUUUCUCAGUGUGAUAAAAUUAUUUUUGUAUUGGCCUUUUAGUUUAGUUCUAAUUUUAUAUAUAGACAGUGGCUAAGUAAGAAAAAAGGACUUUAGAACAAGAACAAUAUGAAAACUUAUUCCUUGUGCUUGGAAAAAUUGAAUCAAACAGAUAUAACAUGACACACUAGUGUGAUUUCCUUUAGACUACUGCUUGUUUUAUACUAAGAUGUAAUAUACUAAGAUAGUGAACAGAGCGGGGAUAUAGUAUGAAUAUUACCUCGAGUAUCAAAUGUCAUGGAGUUGUAAGGAUUAUAGCAUGGCAUUAUAGAUGUUCAGUAAAUUUUACUUAAUGUCACCAUAAGGACAAACAUGGAGAUAAUCAGGUAAAAUGAAGGUAAAUGGCAAGAAUCAGGCUUCAAGGGUUUAGAUUCAUUGCUUUUGUUAAAAAAAAAAUUUAGUUUUCUCAUGACAUCAAGCACAUAUAAAUGUAUACUAAACAUGGCUAAAUGUAAGUUAAGAUGGCCACCAUUAUGUGUUGUUCAUCUCAGUGAUAAACCUUUAUUAACUCUUAGAAUAGAGAGGUGAUUGUACACCCCUGGAAGUAUAUAUGAGUUUCAGUUCAGAUAAUGACCAAACACUUAUUCUAUGAAGAAAAUUAUAUUUCUUGUACUGCAAUUCUCACAUCUCUCCUUAUGUAAACAGGGUCCACUUGAUUUUCUCAUCUAGCAAUGUGAAGGAUUUUUUCUGCCUGGAACCCCUACUUGGGUAUAAGCCUGACUACCAGACAAUAUCCAGACUUAUCACUGGACUAUUAAACCAUAUUAUAUUUUCCUUAAGGGAUACUAAAAUGUGUUCCAGAAUUAAUAUAGUUUUAAAUGUAUGCUUUUUUAAGAAUAUUUUUUAUCUUAAAAAUACAUGACUAUGAUUUUUCUUGCCAAAGACAUCUACUGAUAUAUACAAAAAUUAAUCUAUAUUUUUUUGUUAAUUCUUUUAUUCAACAGACAUCUAUUGUGUAACUUCAGUGGUCCUGAAACAGUGUUUGACAGUGGGAAGUUUUAAGAAAAUAAGAUAUUUUAUUUGCCUUAAAAGAUUCCAGUGGGUUUUAAACACAAUACUUUUUUUCUUGGAAUUCCCUUACUUAAAAUAUGAGUUCUCUCUGUUUUAAAUUGAUGUCAUCAUUUCCCUGAAAUAUAUUUUUUAAAGCCUUUUUUUUUUAAACUAGUGCUGGAGACUUGAUCUUUCAGUAGGGUAAUAAAAUUCUAAGAUCUAUUACUUCAAUUAUAAGAAUGCCACAUUUAAAUUUAUCCUUUGGUUAAUUUAGAGGGAAAUAUACUUUUUCAUCCUUAAAAUCACACUUCUUCCACAGGCAAAGGUGUUAAUAAAAUAUAGUUGCAAGAAAACUUCAUUUCUGUAACUCUGAGAUUAGCAUAUUUGCCAUAUUAAAAAUCACUUUAAAAACAUGGCAUACAUUGAUAAUGUUGAGUAAUAACCUAAGUUGAAGAAGACAGUGUUCUCUACAGAUGGAGAUCCACUUACACAGGGAUCCAUUUAGAAAAGGGUAUUUUGAAUCAUGAUAUUCUGCAAAGCAGUGUUUCAACCUUCACCCUUUGAAAAGACAUAAGCAUAAGUGGAACAGAGAUGUUAAACUCUGGCCAGAAUAAAUGUUUGGUUUAAUUGGUUUUUACCUCCAGAUGGUUAUGAUUUGGGCAAGUCCAUUUUCUUUAUGAAUAUUUAUCACAAUAUUUCAAGGAAUCGAUGCAAUAAAAUACUAAAAACUAGAGACCUUUAUUAUAUAUAUAUAUAUAUAUAUACACACAUAUACAUAUAUAUACACACAUAUAUAUGUAUAUAUAUAUACACACAUAUAUAUACAUAUAUAUGUGUGUAUAUAUAUAUUAUUUCUUAAAUUGAGAAACAUUCAUAUCCUAAAAAUUUGGUUUCCUUUAAUCACAGAGGAAAAUGUCAUAAUUGAGCUUUACAUUUCAGGCAAGACAGACUAUGUUAUUUUUAACUGUAAUCAUUUCUCAAACUAAUUUGCAUAUGGAUGAUGUUUAUAUGAGCAGGUCAUUUUGAAAUUUUAACAUAGCAUUUAAAUGCUAUGGUGGUUUUUUGAAAAAUAAUGCACUUAAUGCCUCACCUGCACUUUUUUGUGCAGACAUUUUUUAAGAUAAAUUUUUACUUCCAGCAAAUGUACUAUUUUAAUUGCAGUUAGGCUUCAGUGAUAACCAUCAAGCUGGUGCCUAACUCCAGAAAGAUCUUUCCAACUGUUCUGUGGAUACUUAGGCAACUAUCUCUAAGUAAUUAUGAUAAUGUAAAUGAGCUACAAAAUUGAAACCUGGUAAAAUAUGAUAUACCUUAGAAAUAAAAUGUGUAAUGGCACUUAAAUAUACUGAUUAAAAUAUAAGCAAUUUGGGGGGAAAUAAUAAAUGUAUUGCUAUGACCCACCAUAUAACUAAUGUAAUCCAUUUUCAGUGUGAAAAUAUGGACAGUUAGGUAAGCUAAUUUCAAACCAAGAAACAGGAUAGAUUAAGCUUAGGAUAACAGAUACAUUUAAACAAAGGUUGGUGUGGAAAUCACAUGAGUGUUACUCUGUUGGCAGUAAAUAAUUUCCAUACACAAUUAGAAAUGUGUCAAUCUCAUCAUUACAGUGAUUGUUGACUUGGUGUUUUUACCCAGUUUUAAUUUCUUAUUAUGAUUUUUGGAAGUGACUAUGCAUUGCUUUACCAAAGAAAAUGAACCAGUAAGGGUUAUUAAAAUAAAUAGAUUUUCCAAUUUUCAAAACUUUGGUAUUUCUUACUAAUUUUUGGCAAUAGUCCUAUCUAUCCAAAACCACUUAUACUUGGCUGAAGUUUCACUUAGCAUCUUAAGAAUUAGAUUUUCUCAUCUGAAAAUUAGAUCAUUGGAUUCAGCCUUUUUUUUUCAUUUUUAUUAAAAAUUGAACUAUGUCUUUAAUAACUUAGUCAUCCUUUUUGGCAGACUUACUCCUACUACCCAACAUCUGUCUGGCCUAUUUCUUUUUAUCAUUUGAUACAUGUUCAAACAGUGCAAAUCAGUGUUGACAUUGACUCAUGAAAAACAAUUACAAAAUAAACCCUGUGGUUCAGUCUCUCCUGACAAUGAACAAUUUGCAAUAUCCCCAUUGUAUGAUCUGUUGUCACUCUCUUGCCUUAGUGUUGAUAACAGAGCACUGCCUUUAUCUUCUUUGUCUCUGCCUGAUUAAUUUUUCCCUUCUGAACUAGAAAAUUAACUUUUUCCUCCUAAAUAAAAAAAUCACAAAACAGAAGGACUCUAAAAUCUGAAGCAGAUUAUUGGUGUUUAUAAUUUGAUUAGAAAAUUAUCCACUUGAAAUAGUACGUAGCUACCCUAUUUGUGUCAGUAAUAUUACUCUGAUUUUUUUUUUUUUUUGCUGUAGUAAAGCAUGAAGAUGAAUUUAGUACUUUAACUUUUGUGAAUAUUGGAGACACAUAGUUUUGGGAUAAUGUGUAAAUAUAAUUUUUGAAAAGUCAAACUGGUCAUUUGGAUUGCUGGUGUUUAUUAUCAGGAUGUGUCUUAGAAAAGCUAAUUAAUGCUUGUUGUUUUCAUUGGCAGCCUGUUCAUUCAAAGACAAAAUAGAGUUAAACUGAAGAAAUAAUGUAAAUAAUCAGAACUGUCAAUCUGCUGAAGGAAAAUCAAGUUUGGGAUUAAAAGGACUGAAUUGCAAAUUAGCUGAAAUAGCCCCCAAAUAUGCCACCUGAAUGUCAAACAGCAAGUGCUAUUUGCUUACAGGUAUAUAAAUUGGAGCUAUGUUUUGCCACAACAGAGCAGCCUACCAUAUUCUCUCCAGAACAAUGCAGAAACAGGGCCUUUCAGGAUGGUUCUGAAACCUGGACAGUAGCCCAGGAGUGCUUAUUUUUAUAUCUACUACCUCAGUGAUUUCUGAACCAUUUGCUUACAUUUAUCAUGACUUACUGCCCUGUGCUCUGUCAGAUUAUGAAAACUUCAGGAAAGAGCAAUUCUAUCAGGAUUUUGGUGGAGGUACUACCAAAAACAAACAAACAAUUUUACACCGUAGGUGGAUGGGUUUACGAGUUGACAAAGACGGAGAAGUACAGUUCUAGGAAUGCCACAUAUUGGCCACAAGACACGUUUGUUUUUGUUUUUCGUAUUAAGCAACCUUAUCCCACUGCUCACAUCUUGAAUGUGCAGCAAGAGAGAUGCCUUUCUUAACCAUAUGGCUAUAUGGACCUGAUAUUUUAAAAAUAUUCCUUCUGGGGCGCCUGGGUCGUUUGGAAGUUAUUUAAAAUAAAACCUCCAAACUAUUUAAUGUUACUAAUGCAGGCAGCAACAAAUUAUAAAGAAUCUAAAAGUAAUAUAAAACAAAACAAAAAACUGCACAGAUUAGUGUCAAAUGAGUACUCUAUGAUUUUUGCCUAAGAGGCGUCUUAGCUAUUUUGAGCAGUAAUUGAUGGAAUGAGAUGUAAACAGUCACUGGCAAGGUGAGAAGCUGGACAGGCUAAGUCUUAAAAUCCUGUGAGUUUAGGGAGCGUUGUCAGUGUGAGCCAGUCUGUGGACAAUACAGUGAAUCACAGCUAUAUGAUUAAUCAGAUCAGUCCUCUAUUCUAAAGUACAAAGAGAAUGAUGUGUUGGCAUCUGAUUUGGAAUUGAAUGCUUGUAUAUUAAUGAAUUUGUGUAGACUGUGCCCUCCAAUGUUUUGCCUGGAAAAGAAAUUCAUUAGGAAUUUGGACAAAAGCAACAUGAGAUAACCAUAAUAGAGCUGGAGUAACCUGUAUCGAGGAAAAGCUAACAUUAAGAAGAAGAAUAAACUCCUUAAUCCUAAUAGUAUGUUAUUGAGGUUGAAACUAAUUAUUGAGUACUUUAACAUGACUAGUUAUUGCUUUAUUACUAAAAAAAUAAAAACAUGCUUUAAGCGUAUAUUAAAGUAACUGGUCAAAAUAAACCACAGUAAUUUCAGUGAAAUAGCAAGCAGUUUCACAGGAGAAAUGGGGGGCAUUUUGGGCUCUGAAAGAGAUCACAAUAUUCACUUUGGCACCAUUAUCCCUUUGUUUCUAAAACGUAGUUUACAGUGCUUUGAAACUAGAUUUCGAACACCAGACAAUGAUAAUAGCCAACAUUUACUUGAGAAUUCACUGUGUGCCUGGCAUUCUUCUCAACACUUUACAUGUAUUAACUACUUAAAUAGGAACAGUGACCUUGUGAGUCAGGUACUAUUAUUAAUAUCUCUUUUAUAGCUGAGACGAAGUUAAAUGAUUUGCUUAAGGUCACAGUUCCUGUAAGUGAAGAGUAGUCCAGGACUUGAACCCUCCCAGUGUUCUACCAGAGGCUUUGCUCAUAGUUGCUAGGCAAUACUGACUCUUGAUUGCACUUUAAGUUAAAAAGAUGAAAUUGUGGUGCAUCACCAAGAGUCAGUUGUGCCAAAAAUAAAUUCUUUGUAUGAAGGCAAAAAAGGAUAAAGUCUACUGUGUUUUGUUUUUAAUUCCUUUCACAUACGCAUUUUGCCGUUGAGCACGUGGCACGGUGAUGCGACUGUACCUGGGGCUUGUGCACUUCUUUCCAGGUUGCAGUGAACCUUCACAGGCAGUAGGUAGGAAGAGCAGGAAGAGCAUUUGUAUCUUUUAGGCAGUAGGAUUCUGAAUGCUUUUCACAAACAGUGGAUUUUAGCAAUGAAUUUAAAACAUUCUGCUAAGCUCAAAAUAGAACAAGAGUUUUUUGAUUAUCCUCUUUUUAAACUACUCAUAUCUGAUAAGAAGGCAUGGAGAAGAGGGGGAGGUCAAACCAUAAUAAUAACAAAAAGAUCUUUCUUCUCCCCGUAGACUAGAAUGAUGCUUUCUGACUUAAACAAAAAAUUUUAUUCCAGCCCCUGUUUCUGCAUGGGUCAGAAAUAUCAACCACCGUCCACCUCUGCACAAAGGAGCCAGCUAACAUCAGCACGGGCCUUCUCCCAACCUAUUUCUAAUGUACUGAGGGAACACAUCCUCGAGUCUAUUUAGAAACAUGCAUAUAAGUUAUUGUUUAUUCAAUUUUAACCAUUUUCUUGCUUAGGUUUUUCAGAUUUAUCACCCACAACCCCCAAAAUUAUCCAUUAAUUUUAUAUAGUUUGAUAAAUAUACCAUAUUUCAUUACUGGCUUAAUACAUCCUUGCUUACAACUCUAACAAUAGAUGGUAAACACUUGUCAACCUCCUAUUGGACUUUUUAAGAUCCCUCUGAAGUCUGAGAACUGGGGAGAAUGAUUUCAGCCCUAUAGUCAAAUAGAAUUUCUUUAUCAUUGAUUCUUAUAAAGGAUGCAUUAUGAUAAAACUUCUAAGGAAGUUGCAGUUCUGAGGUACAUUUGAAGGUUAAAAUGAAAUACUGAGGUGUUAGGCAUACACAGCUUCCCUUAUUCCAUUUGGCAAAGGAAAUCGAUUCUGGGUGCAACAUGCUAAACUUUCUGUCCAUUGUGUCCAGUGCAUGUGGAUCAUUGAGUAGCUUUCAUGAAUGCUAUUUUUAUUUAGAACAUAAAUACUGUCACAUUCCCAAAGAAUACAAAAAUUAGCUCUUUGAAAAAGUUUGAUAUGAGACAAGCAGAUUGACUUAUCCUUUUAAAACCCUAUAGUUUUGAAACUUGCAUCACUUACAUUAUGAUUUUGUGGCCUCAGUUAUUAUUUAAGGUUUAGUAUGAUUUGGGGGCAGCAGGUUUUUCUUGAUGACCCUUACUAAUAACCUUUAAUUGGCAGAAAAUUUUCAAUUACUCUAAUUAAAGAGCAGAAUUGAACAUGUUGACCAAAGAUUCCAUGUUGCUAAUUAGAAAACAAGAAGCUGGUAAGGGCAUACUUUUAGAUCAACCAUUGGUGUAAUAAACUUAAGUUUAUCUGCUAAUGUGUCAGUGAACUAGAGUGGCAAGAUUUCUUUAAAUUAUUAAGGUGAGAUAUUGGAAAAACAUAAUUCUCAGAUGUGAACUCAAAGGCACACAGGCAGGUUACUUUGAACUCAAUAACAUGUAAGGAUAGAAAUCAAUUUGUGGUAGGGCUGUGAGGAAUGAUUUUUGUAUGUCUGUUUAAAGAGUCAUUUUUAGAGAAGUAAUCUUUUUUUUUAAAUUACAGUUUUUUGAUGUAACUCAUGUUCAAUGAGACCAAACAUAAAAGCAAACACUUUUAGUCAUCUCUAUUUAUCAGGUUUAGGUAGAAGACUGCCAGACUGUUUUGGUUUUACAAUAGGUUACAGUCUUAUGAUAAAAUUCCAAGAUGGGGUUUGGAAACUAUAAUCCUGGUGUGCAGACAUGAAUAUAGUGAUUUAACAUAAUGUGUUGCUUUAGCUUUCUAGAAGACUUAAAAUAUGGCUGGAGUUCUUCUGUAUUUAGAACCUAAACAGACAAGGCCUUGUGAGAAACUAAAUUAAUUUUGCAUUGACAUUCUGGGUGUUGGUGAUAAUUUGUAGUAACAUUAUGCCUAUUGGUUAUGAUUGUGAAUCAGAAGCUCCAUCCAAAUGGACAUUACAAGAGCCAAAUUUAAUAGUCUUACUAUCGGAAAUUUCUGCCUUAAGGAGACAAGAGGCUCUCCAGCAUGUACUUUGUUUUCUGCCUCCAUAAUUAUGUAUUAAUAUACAUCAACUCUUGGAAGUUGAGGAAGGACAUGAGAGGAAUAAUGGAACUGGACAACAUUAGUAGUGGAGUAAAAGUUCUGUAGUGGUUUUUCUGCAGGGAGGUAGUAGAAAAGGCACAUGGACACCAAUUCCUAGCCUUUGCAUAUUCAGAAUUUCAAGAAAACGAAUAAAAAGAAAAGUGGAAAACAGUUAUGUAACUUAAGCUGAUGUGUUUUUGCUCAUCAAAUAAUUUUUCACAAGUAUCAAGAAUUGAUUCAACAAAGAGGCCUGAUAGUCUAUGUAUUGUAUGCUUUUGUCCUUUCAAUUACAACCACUUUUAUCUCUUAAAAAUAUUCACUGGAAAGGUAUGCUUAGCCUGACCGUAAUAAGAAAACUAGAUACAAUGAUUGUAUGCAUCUAUAUAACCAUAUACAUAUUGCUGUAUGAAUUGUCUGAAGUGAAAAGAUUUUUCCAUACCUUACGAAAAGUUUUAAUAAAAAUAUUUUAACUAUAAUCUAUUGAAGGCUUCCUUCAGCUCUUUUUUCAGCUACAAACUUAUCUAUGAUAGUGGUAGAAUUAUGGCAAUAUACUGUUGACCCUUGAACAACAUGGGUUUGAACUGGCUCAGAUCCACUUACAUGUGGAUUUUUUUUUUUUUACCAGAUACAGUACAGUAAACUUCUUUCCUCUUAUUUUCUUAACAGUGUCUUUUCUGUAGCCCUUAUUGUAAUAAUAUGAUAUAUAAUACAUAGACAACAUAUGUGUUAAUCAACUGUUUACAUUUUCAGUAGGGCUUCCAGGAAACAGUAGGCUAUUAAGAUUUGGGGGAGUCAAAAGUUGUGCACAGAUUUUUGACCGUGUCCCUAACCACCGUGUUGUUCAAGCAUUAAAUGCCUUCUGCUAAGGCUGUGUGUUUUUUCAAGUUAUCUGACAACUUUUCAGUUGUUUUUAUUGCAAAUCGAUUGUGUGUUUAAUAAAAUUACUGUUUUGAUUUGGCAAGCUCUUGAAUAUAUUUUUACAUAGAUUUCUGAUGGGAGUGCUAAUCUUUAGAUUUUUGAGUGUGACUCUUUGGAGAGGAUUAAUGGAACUGGACAACAUUACAGUAGUAGAGUAAAAGUUCUGUAGUGGUUUUUCUUCAGUGAUGUGGUAGAAAAAGCAAAUGGACACCAAUUCCUAAUUUGAGAUAUCUUCUCAGCAGAUAUCUCUAUUGCAUGCAUUUGAUUUUUUUAAACCACAAAAUGUAUAUGAAUGCUGUGCAUGGAUUGACAAAAGUGAACUAUAGCAACAUGAAAAUAACUUAUUUGGCACCACUUAUAGAUCAGGCAAUGGACUCUAGCAAUUCACAGUAUUUUUUUUAAAGCUUUUAAAAAUUAAGUCUUAUAAUGAUAAUUAUUAAAGCCAGAAGGAUCAGAAAUAUGCCGAAUAUAAGAUCAUUUAUAAAAAAUAAGUCCCAAAUUUGAUAAUCAUAUGACAUUUGAGGUGAUUAUGGGUGAGUUUUUGAUAUACAGGGUGGCAUUAAAGUAGAAAUAUAGUCUAUGGACCAUAGAAAUGGAGUUCCAGAUAUCGAUAAAUGAGAUGACUGUCUUUAAACUUUCAAAAAAUUUGUUACCUAAUUUAGGGAUAUUUGGAGCCUAUGAGCCCUUAUUUAUGUUUAUUUAACUUCAAAAAAUUAAGAAAGAAUUAAGGAAUUAUUUAGUUUCUAACAUUCUGAGAGAGUGGCCAAGAGACUGGAAAUGUCUUCUCUUAGUGUGAAUGUAGUUAAACAAAUCAUUGCUAUGCUACCGUCCAGCUCUUAAAGUGCAAAGUGUUGAGAAGACAUAGCAAUUUGCUUAAUUAACCCCUGUUCUUUUUACAGGGCAAGAAAUAAAAUUACUCUUUGGCAAUCACAUGUUACUUGAAUUAUAUUUAAUCUUGUGUUAACCUGAAAACAUACCAGCACACUCACACACACAACCCCUAAUGCAAAUAUGGACAGAAGGAAUCCCCCCAUCAUAAACCAGUAUAUUUCUUUCUAACAUACAAACAAUGUUAAUAGCUCUGAUGGAAAAAAAUAAGGUGCCAUAGUUAGUAAGGCAGAGCUCAUGUUUUAGAGGUUUAUGGCCUAAAAGUAGAUAAAUUUGCAUUUGUGUGUUUCCUCUACCCGGCUCCCUAAUAUCAACUGACUUCUUGCAGAAAAUGUAUAUGCUUUUCAUUCUGACCAAUAAAAGGCAACUUGGUGAGUUAUAGAGAUUGACUGGGUGCUUGACAUGUGGUGCUGCUCCAAUAAAACAGUAGGCAAUUGGUACUGGGGAGGUUUAGAAGAAUUUAACUUGUCUUGCUUGUUUUUAGAUAUGUUGAUAUCCCAAUAUUCUAAAAAUAUAAUAAUGCAAGUUUAGUUCACAUACAAUAGGUUUCCUUAUAUUGCUUUUGUAGUUCAAGUGUAAAAAAAGAAAAAAACUGAUAAUGUGCUCCUAGUCAUUCUAUAAUUGUGUUCUGAUAUUACCAGGCAGUUUUUGUAGACAUAGAUAAGCACAUUGUUCAUUAUGUAAAUGCAAAAUGCAUCUUUUCAAUCAUUAUUGCCUAAGUAAUUUUUAGAGAAUGACCAUUGAGUUGUCCAUCUUCCCACUUCAUCACUCUAAGGCAGGUGGAUAUGUUUGAUUCCUUUUCCAUUCUUUUACUAUUAAAAGAACCUUAGGGAAAAUAAAACAUUUGUUUCCAAUUAAAAAAAACCCUGGUAAUUAUGUUGUUUUACUUCUGCAAAAUAGCCACAUUUUUAUAUACGCCAAAUAAAUUGUCACGUGUAACUAUAUGCUACAAAUGAUGAAAUAUGGCUGAAAAUAAUUUCCCUUAUUGUACUACAAUGUAUGAAUAAUUAUAGAUGUAAACACUUAAAAUGACAUUUUCCUAUAAUACCAAUAUUCUAUAGGUACCAUUCACAAUACAGUAUAUUCUGUUGCUACUUUGUGAAAUGAGUUCUUGAGAUUCAUAGUAAGGCACUACACAAAGCAUUAUUAUUAAAGAAUUAUAGGGAAAAUUUUUCCAACUGAAAACUGGUAACUGAAGGUAUUAUUUAAAAGAAAUAUAUUACAGAGUAGAUAAGUUCAAUGUAGCAAUAUCUUUCUAUUUUGGUUUCAAAUUAAGUUUCUAUAUACACAAAAACAAUUUGCCUCAAGUAUUAGGUAAUAUAUUUUAGAAGACUUAAAAUAACCAAAAUAAUGUUGCAGUGUGUUACAUUAGUAAUUUAUCAAUAAAAAUUAUUACUAUUAAUAAUUGGUAGAAUUUUUUUUCCUCCCUGUGCUAGUGAUUUCAGUUGAUGGGGCUUUAGUAACAUGUAUAGGGAUGCAUCUUAAUAUCUAUAUUUGCUGAACAGUGUUAAAAACACAAAACUGUCCUCAUUAAAAUGGACUUUUGUACACUAUAAUUUGAAUUAAGUAAUGAAUAUAUAACGUAUUUUAAAAAGUUGUAUAUCAAAUGUGUAACAUUCCAUUUUUGGCUAUAUUUUGUAAAACAUUUUUGGUGUAAUCAGUAUGACUCUCACAUAUGUCAAAUCAAGUAUUUUACUAUUUAUUUAAACAGAUAUAUACCUAAUGUAUUUGGAAGCUUAUUGCACUCAUAUAAUUGUAUAUAUUGUGACUUCAAAAGUCUGUACUUAUCCUUGCUUUAAAAAAGUAGUAUGUGCAUUUCUUUCCAAUUUAUUUUAAUUAAUUAUAUUAAGGAAAACAUACUUUACUAAAUGUAUCUUAAAAUUCACAAUAAAGUUUCAGAAAUUGUUUUGUACAA